AUUGAACGCUGGCGGCAGGCCUAACACAUGCAAGUCGAACGGUAACAGGAAGAAGCUUGCUUCUUUGCUGACGAGUGGCGGACGGGUGAGUAAUGUCUGGGAAACUGCCUGAUGGAGGGGGAUAACUACUGGAAACGGUAGCUAAUACCGCAUAACGUCGCAAGACCAAAGAGGGGGACCUUCGGGCCUCUUGCCAUCGGAUGUGCCCAGAUGGGAUUAGCUAGUAGGUGGGGUAACGGCUCACCUAGGCGACGAUCCCUAGCUGGUCUGAGAGGAUGACCAGCCACACUGGAACUGAGACACGGUCCAGACUCCUACGGGAGGCAGCAGUGGGGAAUAUUGCACAAUGGGCGAAAGCCUGAUGCAGCCAUGCCGCGUGUAUGAAGAAGGCCUUCGGGUUGUAAAGUACUUUCAGCGGGUAGGAAGGGAGUAAAGUUAAUACCUUUGCUCAUUGACGUUACCCGCAGAAGAAGCACCGGCUAACUCCGUG
rnacentral:rRNA from 1 species